CACGGAAACUCCAAUCACUGGCGUUUCCCCUUUUCGGAAACAUUUCCGAGAUGGAAAUGACAGGACAUGCCCAUGACAUGUUUCGGGGCUGUGUCCAGAAAAAUCAAAAGAUGAAAAUGCAUUUCUGCGUUGGAAACACGUUUUUUACGGUCGGAGAUGGCUUCUGGCUUAUGAUUGACGUUUAUUAAUUUUCCCCAUAAAACCUAUUGAUAAACUGCCCAAA
rnacentral:misc_RNA from 1 species